UGGGGUGUAGCUCAACUGGCAGAGCGUCCGGCUGUUAACCGGAAGGUUGCAGGUUCGAAUCCCGCCGCCCCAG
rnacentral:tRNA from 1 species